ACCUAUAUAGUAUAAAAAUUAUUAUUGACUUCCAAUCAAUAGAUCUAACAAUUUAGUAUAGGUA
rnacentral:tRNA from 1 species